ACGCUGGCGGCAUGCGUAACACAUGCAAGUCGAACGGCAGCACAGCAGUAGCAAUACUGUGGGUGGCGAGUGGCGGACGGGUGAGUAAUGCAUCGGGACCUACCUAGACGUGGGGGAUAACGUAGGGAAACUUACGCUAAUACCGCAUACGUCCUACGGGAGAAAGCAGGGGAUCUUCGGACCUUGCGCGGUUAGACGGACCGAUGUUCGAUUAGCUAGUUGGUAGGGUAAAGGCCUACCAAGGCGACGAUCGAUAGCUGGUCUGAGAGGAUGAUCAGCCACACUGGAACUGAGACACGGUCCAGACUCCUACGGGAGGCAGCAGUGGGGAAUAUUGGACAAUGGGCGCAAGCC
rnacentral:rRNA from 1 species